UGGGGAAUUUUGGACAAUGGGCGAAAGCCUGAUCCAGCAAUGCCGCGUGUGUGAAGAAGGCCUUCGGGUUGUAAAGCACUUUUGUCCGGAAAGAAAUCCUCUGGGUUAAUACCUCGGGGGGAUGACGGUACCGGAAGAAUAAGCACCGGCUAACUACGUGCCAGCAGCCGCGGUAAUACGUAGGGUGCAAGCGUUAAUCGGAAUUACUGGGCGUAAAGCGUGCGCAGGCGGUUUUGUAAGACGGAUGUGAAAUCCCCGGGCUUAACCUGGGAACUGCAUUCGUGACUGCAAGGCUAGAGUAUGGCAGAGGGGGGUUAGAAUUCCACGUGUAGCAGUGAAAUGCGUAGAGAUGUGGAGGAAUACCGAUGGCGAAGGCAGCCCCCUGGGCCAAUACUGACGCUCAUGCACGAAAGCGUGGGGAGCAAACAGGAUUCAGAUACCCUGGUAGUCCACGCCCUAAACGAUGUCAACUAGUUGUUGGGGAUUCAUUUCCUUAGUAACGUAGCUAACGCGUGAAGUUGACCGCCU
rnacentral:rRNA from 1 species